rnacentral:rRNA from 1 species
GCUCCCGCAUGGGAUGUGUGUGGAAAGCUCCGGCGGUGCAGGAUGAGCCCGCGGCCUAUCAGCUUGUUGGUGGGGUGAUGGCCUACCAAGGCGACGACGGGUAGCCGGCCUGAGAGGGCGACCGGCCACACUGGGACUGAGACACGGCCCAGACUCCUACGGGAGGCAGCAGUGGGGAAUAUUGCACAAUGGGCGAAAGCCUGAUGCAGCGACGCCGCGUGAGGGAUGACGGCCUUCGGGUUGUAAACCUCUUUCAGCAGGGAAGAAGCGAGAGUGACGGUACCUGCAGAAGAAGCGCCGGCUAACUACGUGCCAGCAGCCGCGGUAAUACGUAGGGCGCAAGCGUUGUCCGGAAUUAUUGGGCGUAAAGAGCUCGUAGGCGGCUUGUCGCGUCGGAUGUGAAAGCCCGGGGCUUAACUCCGGGUCUGCAUUCGAUAC